ensembl:ncRNA C12D12.10 ncRNA
GAAACAACAUUCAGAUUUUGAUAAAUCUGCGGUUGACACCUGCAAAUCGGCCGUGAAAAUGGCCCAUAGACGCUCUCUGCCACUCCGCACACUAGAAGGUCUCUUUUCGCUACGAACCCGAAUGUCAGCUGACGUGUUCUGACAACUUGGAUAUAUCGUCGAGUUUGUAUGUGGUGCCAUGACACAUUGGCAUUUCUGAUGAUUAAUGCUACCACCUAGUGCUUAUUCGUCUGCUGUAACUGUUUUAAAUUAUUUUCUA